rnacentral:rRNA from 1 species
CUAUGGGCGGCAGCAGUGAGGAAUAUUGCACAAUGGGGGGAACCCUGAUGCAGCAACGCCGCGUGGAGGAUGACGCAUUUCGGUGUGUAAACUCCUUUUAUAUGUCAAGAAAAUGACGGUAGCAUAUGAAUAAGCACCGGCUAACUCCGUGCCAGCAGCCGCGGUAAUACGGAGGGUGCAAGCGUUACUCGGAAUCACUGGGCGUAAAGGACGCGUAGGCGGGUUGGAAAGUCAGGUGCGAAAUCCUACAGCUUAACUGUAGAACUGCACUUGAAACUUCUAAUCUAGAGUAUGGGAGGGGGAGAUGGAAUUAGUGGUGUAGGGGUAAAAUCCGUAGAUAUCACUAGGAAUACCUAAAGCGAAGGCGAUCUCCUGGAACAUUACUGACGCUAAGGCGUGAAAGCGUGGGGAGCAAACAGGAUUAGAUACCCCUGUAGUC